UACAGAGGGUGCAAGCGUUGUUCGGAAUUACUGGGCGUAAAGCGCGUGUAGGUGGCGAUGUAAGUCGGGUGUGAAAUCCCUCGGCUCAACCGAGGAAGUGCACUCGAUACUGUGUCGCUUGGGUGUUGGAGGGGAUGGCGGAAUUCCCGGUGUAGAGGUGAAAUUCGUAGAUAUCGGGAGGAACACCUGUGGCGAAGGCGGCCAUCUGGACAACUACUGACACUGAGACGCGAAAGCGUGGGUAGCAAACAGG
rnacentral:rRNA from 1 species